CUGAAAUGGAGUUGAAAAAAACGGUGCGGCCAUAGUGGUGAAGACCGCAGAGAUGAUCUGUAACCAACAAAACCUCUGACGAGCUUGUUCAAAGAAUUCUCCGGUCAAUUUCGAACGAUCAGAUCACAAAGCAAGUAGCAGAAAUUCGAAAUUUGGUGUCCGGAAUUGUUUGUUAUAGUCGGCGACUCCACGACGAACGAGACCGAUGAAUUUUGCUCAUGGGUGGAUCUUAUUGGCAGAUGACACGUGGAGAUUGAUUACGUGGACCAUUCUCAUUGGUUGUAACGAGUAAAGACACGCUUCAAUAUGUAAUGGCAACAUGUAUAUUACCAAAAACCUCAGUCCCUGUUUCGUAAAACAGCUUUCCCAAUUCCUAUCAAACCCUCUUUGCGAGUGAGAGGGUCUAUUUUCCUUAUACUUGUUCAACUUUAACUCAUUUUAGACACCAAUCUACCAAAUCAUCCUUGUGACAACCCUUUUCAGUACAAGAAACAGGACAUAGAGAAAUAAAAGCAUCAGAAACUUCUUGGAAGCCAUGACCCGAAGAUUGACUCGAACCCCGAAUCUUCUCAUCAGCUGCAACACCGUACCACAUACCAUCACCACCCCUCGCAACAACAUCCUUGCAGCAUCUCCAGGUCCACCAACGUUUCCCACAUCUUCCCCUGAUAUGUCUACAUAUGACACUGCCUCUGAAUUCUCUUUCUUUUCUUUGUUGGUCUCAGAUUUGUUCAGCCCCAGGCGUUCAUUGAGCCAGAUAGAUAUGUUGAUUAGCAGUUUGGCCAUCCAUGCAACCUCGUCUUCUGAAACCGGACGGGUCAUCCAGUCCCCUUUGUACUUCACAAUCCCUGCUAUUUGGUUGCCAGCACCACGUGGCUUGAAGAGCUCGUCACGGAUUUUUUGAGGAUGGUCCGGCUCUAGGGAAAAAGCGAUUGGUUUAAUGACAUGCCCACCAAAGAAGUUUGAAACCGCUGAUUUUAGUGAAUCUACACACUUAAGGGCCUCUGUGAGGUUUUUCUCGGAUACAGUUUGCAGUUCGGCUUCUGCCCGCAGUAUGAAUAGCUGCAAAUGCAAAGAACAAAAGCCUUCAGUAAAGUAAAAUAAGUUUUAAGCUCCACUCGCCCCUGUGAGCUAAGGGAUUCUAGAGUCGUAUAAACUAAAGUAUAGUAUUGGUAACAAGAAACAUGCGUGCAGAUCAGGGAUUCUGAUGGCUCAUCGAUACAACUAGGGUACUGAAAAACAAAUGUAGGAGAACUAGUUCUCAAAGUAUAUUUCCGUGAACAAUUUCUCAAAAAACAAAUUCCCAAGUUAAUAGCUCACAGCAUCGCCGAUGACUGAGAAUUCAUCUAAUUGUCAAGUAACAAAUUCUCCUGUUAAUAUAGAUAGAAGGCUACAAACAACAAAAAAAGUAAAUCGGAAGGUUAUCCAUAUAUUUUUCAACUGGAUCAUUCCAUAAUAGAGCUAUUUUUAAGCACAUUUGUAGAUAUCAUCCUACAAAGAUAUCUAUCUUCUACUUUUUUUAUUCCUAAC
rnacentral:lncRNA from 1 species